UAGCCGUAAACGAUACUCGCUAGGUGUCGGCCACGGUGCGACCGUUGUCGGUGCCGUAGGGAAGCCGUGAAGCGAGCCACCUGGGAAGUACGGCCGCAAGGCUGAAACUUAAAGGAAUUGGCGGGGGAGCACCACAACGGGUGGAGCUUGCGGUUUAAUUGGAUUCAACGCCGGAAAUCUUACCGGGACCGACAGUAACAUGAAGGCCAGGCUGAAGACUUUGCCGGAUUAGCUGAGAGGAGGUGCAUGGCGUAGUCGUGU
rnacentral:rRNA from 1 species